AUUGAACGCUGGCGGCAGGCCUAACACAUGCAAGUCGAGCGGAACGGCGGGCGGGUGAGUAAGGCCUAGGAAUCUGCCUGGUCGUGGGGGAUAGCGUACGGAAACGGGCGCUAAUACCUCAUACUUUCAGAUAAGUGUAGGGCGGAUUCGUUAGUUGGUGGGGUAAAGGGCUACCAAGGCUACGAUCGGGAACUGGUCUGAGAGGAUGAUCAGUCACACUGGAACUGAGACACGGUCCAGACUCCUACGGGAGGAAGCAGUGGGGAAUAUUGGACAAUGGGCGAAAGCCUGAUCAAGCCAUGCCGCGUGUGUGAAGAAGGUCUUCGGAUUGUAAAGCACGUUAAGUUGGGAGGCGGUACCAGCAGAAUAAGCACCGGCUAACUACGUGCCAGCAGCCGCGGUAAUAC
rnacentral:rRNA from 1 species